rnacentral:rRNA from 1 species
UACAGAGGUCCCAAGCGUUACUGAGAAUCACUGGGUUUAAAGGGUGCGUAGGUGGUCCGUUAAGUCAGUUGUGAAAUCCCCGGGCUCAACCCGGGAAAUGCUUCUGAUACUGGCGGACUUGAGGCCAGUAGGGGUCACUAGAACUGACGGUGGAGCGGUGAAAUGCGUAGAUAUCGUAAGGAAGACCAGUGGCGAAGGCGGAUCUCUGGACAGUUACUGACACUGAGGCACGAAGGCCAGGG